AUUGAACGCUAGCGGGAUGCCUUACACAUGCAAGUCGAACGGAGUGGCGAACGGGUGAGUAAUGUAUCGGAACGUGCCCCGUAGCGGGGGAUAACUACGCGAAAGCGUAGCUAAUACCGCAUACUCUUGGAGCCGCAGAUACCGGAUUAGCUAGUUGGUGGGGUAACGGCUCACCAAGGCGACGAUCCGUAGCUGGUUUGAGAGGAAGACCAGCCACACUGGGACUGAGACACGGCCCAGACUCCUACGGGAGGCAGCAGUGGGGAAUAUUGGACAAUGGGGGCAACCCUUAUCCAGCCAUCCCGCGUGUGCGAUGAAGGCCUUCGGGUUGUAAAGCACUUUCGGCAGGAAAGCGGUACCUGCAGAAUAAGCACCGGCUAACUACGUGCCAGCAGCCGCGGUAAUAC
rnacentral:rRNA from 1 species